GCUGGGGCUCUGUGCAGGUCUGGGGUUCUGUGUGGGCUGUGGUUCUGUGUAGGGCUGGGCUGUGCAGUGGGGGCUUGCUCCUGUGCUGUCUGCCCCCAGGCUGGACGCCCCAGAGAGCCUGUCCGUCCUGUCUGCAUGGAGGCCCCCUGGGUCUGGGGCACACGCGGCAUAGAGCAGGCUCAGGAAAUACUGGAGAAAGGGCCCAGCGGCUGUUCCUCUGAGUCUGGCCACAGCGUCCCCCUGUCCCUUCUGUCCACAGGCCUUCGAGAUCACGUUGGCGGUGGGUGAAGGGAAGGGCGUCAACAAGCGGAUCACCUACACCAACCCCUACCCCUCCCGCAGGACGUACCACCUGCACAGCGACCACCCGGACCUGCUGCAGUUCAAGGAGGACUCCUUCCAGGUCGGAGGAGGAGAGACCUACACGAUCGGCCUGCAGUUUGCCCCUGGUCCGGGCGUGGGGGAGGAGGAGAUUCUCAUUUACAUCAACGACCACGAAGACAAAAACGAAGAGACGUUUUGUGUGAAGGUCGUCUACCAGUGAGGGCGGGGGGCGCCCGUCCUCCCUGCAGCCCCCGGCCCCUGCCCACGUGCCUGCGCUGCUCUGCGCUCCGUCCUGCCCUCGGCCGCGGGCCUCGGGGACCUGCCGGAUGACCUGUGAACUCGGCUGAGGGCGGAGCCCCCAUCACUUGUAACGCCGUGUCUGGUGGAGCAGCUGACGGCCACCGAGGCCAGUGUGAGCGGGAGCUCUGCGGUGGCUCUGGCGCGGCCCCUGCCAGCGGCCCCUGCCCGCCCGUCUCCAUCCGAAACUCUGUGUUGAUUUGCUUUUAGCAAAGUGUAUUUUACGAAUCAUCCCAGAUGAUAGGAAUUAUGUUUCUCUUACCGGAUUUUGUAUAAACAUAAUAUAUGAUUUGCCAUGCAAUGUUUUAUACUGCUAUUAAUAAUCCUUCACAUCUGUUUUUUAAGUUA